rnacentral:lncRNA from 1 species
UUUUGGAACUCUGCGUCGAACAAGAAGACUCUCCAAUAGACCAACAGUCUUCCGAACUCUCUCUUCAUCAGUUAUGAACCGAACUCUUGCUGAAAAAUAGUUGAAGAAUUGAUUGAAAAUUAAGAACACUUUGGAUUCUUGUGGAUUGGGUUCGUAACUGAAUCAUGUAACAAAAGCAUUAUGUACAGUAUAUGAUUUACAGAUCUAAGGAGAAAAUUAAACACUUAUCCAAAACAUAGAAAAUUGGAUAAUACCGAAUGAAAAUCUGCUAUUGUUUUUUGAUCUGCCAAAGAGAAUGAUGCUUUUAAACGCUUGCUUGAGCUUGAAGACGUAUUUGGCAAAACUGUAAAGUGUAAACACAUUAUAUUGAAAUGUUAUCUGCAUAUGAUAUAUUAAACAAUCUUUGAAAGCUAUAACAAAAAAAAAAAAAACUGAAAUCGGAGAUGGAGAUGGUAAAUUGAUACCUUCAGUAAAGAAAAGAUUAACUGAUUUCUAAGAGCAAUCGAUUACUGUUGAUGGGAAGACUAUUUUUUUAUAGAUAUAAAUAGUCAUCGGAAGUUUGGAGGAGA